GUCAUAGCUCAGUGGCAGAGCACCUGCUUUGCAAGCAGAAGGUCCCAGGUUCAAUCCCUGGUAUCUCCA
rnacentral:tRNA from 1 species